UACGGGGGGGGCAAGCGUUGUUCGGAAUUACUGGGCGUAAAGGGCUCGUAGGCGGCCAACUAAGUCGGACGUGAAAUCCCCAGGCUCAACUUGGGAACUGCGUCCGAUACUGAUUGGCUUGAAUCCGGGAGAGGGAUGCAGAAUUCCAGGUGUAGCGGUGAAAUGCGUAGAUAUCUGGAGGAACACCGGUGGCGAAGGCGACAUCCUGGACCGGUAUUGACGCUGAGGCGCGAAAGCCAGGGGAGCAAACGGG
rnacentral:rRNA from 1 species